GACGAACGCUGGCGGCGUGCUUAACACAUGCAAGUCGAACGGAAAGGCCCUGCUUUUGUGGGGUGCUCGAGUGGCGAACGGGUGAGUAACACGUGAGUAACCUGCCCUUGACUUUGGGAUAACUUCAGGAAACUGGGGCUAAUACCGGAUAGGAGCUCCUGCUGCAUGGUGGGGGUUGGAAAAUUUCGGCGGUUGGGGAUGGACUCGCGGCUUAUCAGCUUGUUGGUGGGGUAGUGGCUUACCAAGGCUUUGACGGGUAGCCGGCCUGAGAGGGUGACCGGCCCAAUUGGGGAAGAGAUACGGCGCAGAGACCUCCGGGGGGGACAGGGGGGGAGGAUUUUACAAAGGGGGGGAGGCUCUUACAGCGACGCGCCGCGCGGGGGGAGGGGCUUCUGGGUGUAAACCCCUUUCGCCUGUGAGACAAAGCGAGUGAGAGGAUUGGGUGAAAGAGCACCCGCGAAACACGC
rnacentral:rRNA from 1 species